CAGCUCGUGUCGUGAGAUGUUGGGUUAAGUACCCGCAACGAGCGCAACCCUUGUCAUUAGUUGCUACAUUCAGUUGGGCACCCUAAUGAGACUGCCGGUGGACAAACCGGAGGAAGGUGGGGAUGACGUCAAGUCCUCAUGGCCCUUAUAGGUGGGGCUACACACGUCAUACAAUGGAUGGUACAAAGGGUCGCCAACCCGCGAGGGGGAGCCAAUCCCAUAAAGCCAUUCGUAGUCCGGAUCGCAGUCUGCAACUCGACUGCGUGAAGUCGGAAUCGCUAGUAAUCGUGGAUCAGAAUGUCACGGUGAAUACGUUCCCGGGUCUU
rnacentral:rRNA from 1 species